AGAAGACUCCCUCUAAGGAUUGCUUUAUGGCCUAUAGUGAAGGGAGGGAUGUGGCACCUCAGAAAGGAGAUGUGGUAUCUAAUAAGAUUCAACAGGGGAGAGGGGAGUGUCCAUGAGAUCAUAAAUUCACAAACUUCAAGUCGGGUUUUGAAAUAGGUCCUGGUAACAUAGUUUUCAAAGUAUUCAUCCAAGAAAUAGUUCAGGGUGCAUAAGGGAGUCCACUCGUGUGGCAGAAUGUAUUUUCCAAAGAUGACCACACCAAUGUAUUUAUCCAGUUCCACAUGCUCGUCUUACAAUUUACCUGACAUUCCUUCUAAUAGGUGGGGGUCUCUGUUCCCUCCCUUUGAAUCUGCUCCAUUGGAGAAUCUAAAUGAUGCUCCAUAACUUCUGGGGCUAGGUCAUAAAACAUGAUACAGAUUAAGUCGGCCUUCCAUAAUGGGAUACUGCUCCCGUGCAGAGAGAAGUCCAGCAUCGCCCAUGAGGAAAGACCAUGUGGCACAGCUGAGAGGAAAGAAAAUAACUCCCUCUCCCCAGGCAACUGUCAGAACCAACCUCCAGACAUGGGAGUGAACUUAACUUCACAUGCCUCCAGCCCACAGCCUUUGAGUCUUCCUGCCAAGGCCCAGACAUCAUGGAGCAGAGAUAACAGAUACACACCAAGAACUCAUCAACAGGCUCUGAGAGAAGAUUGGGCACUACCAUGAUGGGUGUUUGUUGUUUAUGUAGUGACUGCAGGCUGAACAGGCAGCAGUGAAAUUGGUCCUUCAUGCAAUCACAGGUAAUAAAACUGUGGUACCUGAAAUUUCAACCACAUUUGUGGGGUACUGGUGUUAUCUGAUUUAACUAUAGUGAUUGAAAUUUCUGUGUACUAGAAACCUGCAAAGUGAGGAUUAUCUCUCUUUCUAUAAUAACAUCUGGUGGAAGGUGUUUUUUUGAUCUAAUAUUGUAAUGAAGAAUUGGUAAGGCCAAGAUCUCAGAUAGAAUAGAAAUCCAGAGAGUUUCACCUGACAUUUUGUAACUGCCUAUGCCUGAUAGCCACUUUGAAAUCUAGAGGAGGCUGAUGAGAGGCUGACCACCGCUUCUGGGAAAUGGACAAGCCUAAGGCAACAAAUGGUUGAGUCCAGAGCCCAUCGAGGAUGGAAUUUUGGUAAUCACCUUCCCAGGAAUUUGGACUGCGACCUGAACAGACACAUUUUAGGAAUACAGUUGAACCAGAAAUAAUUAAGCCCUCGCAAGGACUGCAAUCCAACUUUUUUUUUUUUAAAGAUUUUAUUUUUUCCUUUUUCUCCCCAAAGUCCCCCGGUACAUAGUUGUGUAUUCUUCGUUGUGGGUUCCUCUAGUUGUGGCAUGUGGGACGCUGCCUCAGCGUGGUCUGACGAGCAGUGCCAUGUCCGCGCCCAGGAUUCGAACCGACGAAACACUGGUCCGCCUGCAGCGGAGCGCGCGAACUCAACCACUCGGCCACGGGGCCAGCCCCU
rnacentral:lncRNA from 1 species